UACGAAGGGGGCUAGCGUUGCUCGGAAUCACUGGGCGUAAAGGGUGCGUAGGCGGGUCUUUAAGUCAGGGGGGAAAUCCUGGAGCUCAACUCCAGAACUGCCUUUGAUACUGAAGAUCUUGAGUUCGGGAGAGGUGAGUGGAACUGCGAGUGUAGUGGUGAAAUUCGUAGAUAUUCGCAAGAACACCAGUGGCGAAGGCGGCUCACUGGCCCGAUACUGACGCUGAGGCACGAAAGCGUGGGGAGCAAACAGG
rnacentral:rRNA from 1 species